rnacentral:rRNA from 1 species
GAUGAACGCUGGCGGCGUGCUUAACACAUGCAAGUCGAACGAGAAGUGGAGACGGAAACCUUCGGGCGGAAGACUUUAUUUCGAGUGGCGGACGGGUGAGUAACGCGUGGGUAACCUGCCUCAUACAGGGGGAUAACAGUUGGAAACGACUGUUAAUACCGCAUAAGACCACAGCACCGCAUGGUGCGGGGGUAAAAACUCCGGUGGUAUGAGAUGGACCCGCGUUCGAUUAGCCAGUUGGCGGGGUAACGGCCCACCAAAGCGACGAUCGAUAGCCGAUCUGAGAGGAUGACCGGCCACAUUGGGACUGAGACACGGCCCAAACUCCUACGGGAGGCAGCAGUGGGGAAUAUUGCACAAUGGGGGAAACCCUGAUGCAGCGACGCCGCGUGAGUGAAGAAGUAUUUCGGUAUGUAAAGCUCUAUCAGCAGGGAAGAAAAUGACGGUACCGGAGUAAGAAGCCCCGGCUAACUACGU